UACGGGGGGGGCAAGCGUUGUUCGGAAUUACUGGGCGUAAAGGGCUCGUAGGUGGCCAACUAAGUCAGACGUGAAAUCCCUCGGCUUAACCGGGGAACUGCGUCUGAUACUGGAUGGCUUGAGUUCGGGAGAGGGAUGCGGAAUUCCAGGUGUAGCGGUGAAAUGCGUAGAUAUCGGGAGGAACACCUGUGGCGAAAGCGGCGCACUGGACCAUAACUGACGCUGAGGCGCGAAAGCUAGGGGAGCAAACAGG
rnacentral:rRNA from 1 species